GAUUGAACGCUGGCGGCAUGCCUUACACAUGCAAGUCGAACGGCAGCACGGGAGCAAUCCUGGUGGCGAGUGGCGAACGGGUGAGUAAUAUAUCGGAACGUGCCCAGUCGUGGGGGAUAACGCAGCGAAAGCUGUGCUAAUACCGCAUACGAUCUAUGGAUGAAAGCGGGGGAUCGCAAGACCUCGCGCGAUUGGAGCGGCCGAUAUCAGAUUAGCUAGUUGGUAGGGGUAAAAGCCUACGACGGACGACGAU
rnacentral:rRNA from 1 species